UCGUUUAAUUUUGGCGAUAGUAAGAGUUCUAGCUGUCCAUCACAUAAAGGUAUUAUACACCAACCGGGGUAAUAUUGAUUCUCGGGCAUUUAGUGGUUAGUGUUUUAUUUUGGUGGAAGCCAUUUAGUGGCAGUUGGUUUAAAGGGGAGAGGGCACAGUGCCAGCAUCCGCGGUUAUUCUGUAUUCUUUUCUUUCACUUGAGUGUCAAACGGUCAGAAGCAUCUAGGUUAUGUAAAAAUUUCUAGUUUUUAAUCUGUUUUCUGUUUUUGAAAAAAUCUGUUUUGUGUGACGCGGAUUAGAUACCCGCUUAUCCGCUGAUUUAAUAUACUGUAGUUUAAAUAACUAAAAAAUUUUGGCAGCAGGCGUUACUGGUCGGGGGAGUGUGCGGCUUAAGGGACAGUCCGCCAAUUAAUUGACCAUUUUUAUGCUGGUGUAUAUCUGGUUAAAAAUUAGUGCCAUUGUGGUUAAAUUUGUGUAGUAGCAGUUAAGCUAAGUCUAUGUGCUGCGUAUAAUGGGGCCCGUGCAUUACAUUUAUAAGUGGGGGGGUUGUUAAUCUACUGAUUUAGGACUCGAUAGUAAUACUGUACUAGUGUGGCAGUAUGAAUCAAGUUUAGCUUGGGUACACACCGCCCGUCACCCUCGUCAUUUGUUGAGGUAAGUCGUAACAAGGUAGCCCCAGAUGAAUCUAGGGCUAAGAGAGAGACUUU
rnacentral:ncRNA from 1 species